rnacentral:SRP_RNA from 1 species
GCCGGGUAUGGUGGUGUGCACCUGUAAUCCCAGCUACCCGGGAGGCUGAGGCAGGAGAAUCACUUGAACCCAGGAGGCAGAGGUUGCAGUGAGCCAAGAUCAUACCACUGCAUUCCAGCCUGGGUGACAGAGUGAGACUCUGUCUCAA